UACGGGGGGGGCAAGCGUUGUUCGGAAUUACUGGGCGUAAAGGGCUCGUAGGCGGCCAACUAAGUCAGACGUGAAAUCCCCCGGCUUAACCAGGGAACUGCGUCUGAUACUGGAUGGCUUGAGUUUGGGAGAGGAGACUGGAAUUCCUGGUGUAGCGGUGAAAUGCGCAGAUAUCAGGAGGAACACCGGUGGCGAAGGCGGGUCUCUGGGCCGAUACUGACGCUGAGGAGCGAAAGCGUGGGGAGCGAACAGG
rnacentral:rRNA from 1 species